GCCAGCCUCCAGUGUAAGCAAAGCCAUGUGCUGUAUCCUCACUAUCUGCACUCAUCUGUGUAAGUCUACAGCAAGCAUCCCCCCCAUCCUGGUGGCAGAUGGUCUCAAGAUGAUCUCAGAUUCCUCCCUUCUAAUUGCAGAAAAAGCUACCUGAAUCUUUCAAAGGAAAUUUUGAAAGAGGAACUCUGCUGACCUUAUCUGCAUCUUGCUUGCUUAUUUUCCACUACAAGGCUGAACAGUACCAGAUCUCUCAGCCUUUCCUCAUAUAGAAGACACUCCAGGCCCCAGUCACCCUUGCAGCCCUCUCUUGGACAUUCUCUAGUAGUUCUAUCUCUCUUGAACUGGGGAGACCAGGACACAGUAUUCUAAACGUGGCCUCGCCUGAGCAGAGUGGAGGGGGAAUAUUACCUUCCAGGACCUCCUGGCUAUGCUCUUCUUCAUGAACCCCAGGAUGUCACUGGCCUUCUCGACCACAAGGGCACACUGCUGGCUCAUGGACAACCUGCUGUCCUCCAGGCCACCUCAGUCCUUCUCUGCAAAGCUCCUUUCCAGCCAGUCAUCCCAUAACCUGUACUGAUGCAUGCAGUUAUUCCUACCCAGGUGCAGGACUCUACACUUGCUAUCAGCUAUGGAGGAGAAAAGAAUAAGUAUGAGAAUAACACUGUUUUUCAGAAAAAUCUUCAGAGGAAAAAAUCACAUCAGGAUCUUUUGUGCUUCAUUAGUACCAAUAAAUGCAAACUCACUGAUAAGAAACCAAAAUCAAGUAUCAUUCCUAAGUGCUAACAAAAUUGGAUGUUAAUGACAUAUUAGCAUUGUAAUUAGUAAAUUGGAUAUUUAUGCUCAUUAUCUAUCAUUCAAUUUGCAAACAAUAAUUUGAAUAGCUUUAAAACACAACGUUAUCAGGAAAAGUCCCAUAUGAAAUGUAAUUUUUGUAAUUAAUUUGUUACUGAGUUUCCCCAUAAUGCAUUAAGAUUUACUUUCAGAGCUCCUAAGCUGAUGCUUUGAAAACUUGUCCCUCAUGUUUACAUUGAUACUUUGUUCUGUAACAAAAAUUUCAGACUGUUCUCCCCACAUAAACCACAAUCCCUGCAUGUCUUCUGAUGAGCAGGAGAAAUAGCCUCUCCAGGACUUCCAUUCUUUGUUAUCUCUGUUGAGAUCAACACAAUCAUAUUUAUAGGCGGGAAAUAAAAUUGCACUGUUCCAGAAACCAGGCCUCUUACUGUUAUUAGAAGCUUCUCAUAUACCUCUAGCAUUUCAGCUUAUUAUAUAAAGUUCCUGGUAGUCACAAAUUAUAAUGACUACAAUGCUGAAAACUCUUAGAACCUGACACUAUUGAAAGUCUCAAUCUGCUGGUCACCUGUUUGAGUGAAACAGUACUCCAUGAUAACUGCAGCUACUACAAAAUAACACUGAUAGUCAGCAUAAAUAAAUUCAACUACCAGGCCUUGAACAAGUCACCUUUACUAAUGAGUCUUAGCAGAAGGUGAGUUAUGUAUUUAUUAUGUUCAUUUUCUUGGAAAGCUCUUUGCAAGUGGCCUUUUAACAGCCAUUUGUAAUUCUUGUUAUUCUGCAUAUCUCCUGCUAUUUGUGAUUCACACCAGUUAUUCAGACACAUUCAGUCAUCCUUCUAUUAGUGAACAGUUCUUGACUGAUGAGCCCUGGUGUGAAUGCACACAAGCUGCUGUGGAACUAAUGUUUGCUUUUUCCAUCGUAUCUUAACUAAUUAGCUGUCUACUUAAUGAAUGACAGUAAUACCUGAUGUUAUAGGUGACUAGUCACAUAACACAAUAAGAAAAUGAGAAGCACUUCAUUAACUACCAGCUGGAAAACUAACAGAAAAUAGAUAGAUAUCAGGAUGGACUCUUCUGCUAUGACAAGUAAUGCAACUGCUACUGAAGAUUACAAGGGCUGCUCUGAAAGUUAUGCAUCCUGUUUUAUUAUGGCAGUCCACAACAUCAGAGGCAGAUAUUGGUGGCAUGGCAGUCGGGAAAGUUGGGAAGGUUGAAUCUUCCCAACAGUAUUUCAUUAUGUUCUGUUGUCGUGUGACAGAUGGCAGUGGAGGGGCAGUCUGAUGAAUGGCAUCUGGCAGGGAAGUGCAUAUGAUGCAAAGAUAUGCCAUUUAAUUCCUCUGUGUGGAAAAAUUUGCACUCACUGACAUUCAUCAAUGUAUGCUGAACGUUUAUGGAGACCAAAUGGUGGAUGUAAGAAAAGUGUGGUGCAUUCAACAGUAGUGACACUGAUGUGAAAGGUAAGCCAUGUUUUAUAUGGCCGUACACAGCUGUCACAUCACACAACUGACAUGCUGAUUGAGCACCUCAAUCAGAUCAUCUGUGUGAACUGGCAGAUUAUGACCAGGGAACUGUGUACAGAGCUGAAUAUUGGCCUCACUGAAAACAACGGUUGAAUUGUUGGGAUACUGCAAAGUUUGUGCCAGGUAGGUCCCACAAAUACUCACACAGGAGUAGAAAGAGCACCGUAUGCAAGUUUGUCAGGACCUACUGAACCAACAUGAGGCUGAAAGUGACUUGUUUCCUGGAUCACAUCAUUAACAGUGACAGGAUGUGGAGUCAUCACUCUAAGCCAGAGUCAAAACAGCAGUCCAUGGAGUGGUGACAAGGGAAUUCCGCAUUGAAGAAAAAGUUCAAGGCACAGCCCUCAGCAAGUAAAGUGUCUUUUGGGAUAGGAAAGGCAUGAUCCUUCUGGAUUUCCUGGAACCCAGACAAAUCAUCAACUCUGACCACGACAUCACAAUGCUUACUAAGCUGAAGGUUUGAACUUACAGGGUCAGGACAGUGAAGAAGACAACCUUGCUCUUGCAACAUAAUAACACUAGGCCUCAUACCAGUUUGAAGACCAUGGAGCACACAGCCAAUCUUGGCUGGACUGUCCUACCACAUGCAUAUAAUAUUCCAGAUUUGGCACCUUCUGAUUUCCAUCUGUCCAGGCUGAAGAAAGAAGGACUGCAUGGGAAACAUUAUCCUAGCAACGAUGCCAUCAUAGCAGCCAUUCAACAGUGGGUCACCUCCACUGGUGCAGAUUUUUACAAGCACAGCAUGUAAGGUCUAGGUCAACAGAUAUGGGGCAGUUUUCUGCCCCAGUAGAGUUUCAGUGACUCCAAAGCUCCUUGGAAUGCAUGCCCAGUUGGUAAAUUAUCUUGUCUAUAAGAUGUGUAUCAUAUCAAAUCCAGUACUUCUGGCUUAACACAUCCUAGCAAGAGGAUAACCUCUCUAGGACAUUUAUUCUUUGUCUUUUCUAUUGAGAUCAACACAGCCAUAUUUAGAGGUGAACACUAAUCCAUUAAUUAUUUUAAACCACAUUAAGCUACAGUCAGACCAAUGAUUAUUUACCCCAGCAUCCUAUCUCUGACGAUGACAAGAGGAAGCCCAAGCAAACCUGGUCACCUCCUGUUAAGUUCUCUCUCUGGCUUCCUCGGCAUCCAGAAUUGUAGGAGGGAUGUUGGUGGGCACAUCCUUGUCAAGUCCAGUUAGCAUCUGUGCAGGGAAUUGCAGUCCAUGAAUUUCUCUAAUCCCAUUUUGAAUCUAAUGGUACUGUCUGCUCCCAUGCCUGCCUGUGGCACCUGCUUUUGAAAGUUCAUUAUCCACUGUACAAAGAAAUGAACUUUCUUUUAUCAGCUUUAUGCCAAGCUACUUGUUUUAACUAGAAAUUUCAGGUUUUAGCUCUCCUGUUGCAGAAUUCAAUGAACAACAGUUCCACACACACAUAAAUCCACUGCCUUCAUGACUUUGAAAACCUCAUUUCUCUCUCCCUUCUCCUCUCCAAACUGAAGUCACGACCUCUUCUGCCUUUGUAUCUUGUCCAACUCCAUUCUGUCUUUCAUGAGAUGCAGAGAUAUACAGUGUUCAAGAACUGUCAGGCUUAGUUUUUGCAUAGCUGAAAAGCCCUCAGUCCUGCUCUUAGGACCUUGUUGAUGCCCUGCACAGUGUAGAACUCUCAAAAUUAAAAAAAAGUAUCCUUUAAAAUUAGAACAUAUCUUACAAUACAAUAAUGCAAUCCUGCCUUCCACAACAUAGCUGAAAUGCAGAUAUCUGGGACUGAGCUAUGUGUUUCAUUCACAUUUCUCUAGGCAACUUAAAACAGACAGAUUACAGAAGAGGUAUACUAAAGAAUUACUAUGCCUCUUUCCUUUUCCCCCACAGUAUAACCACUGUAGGAGCAUCCAAGCUGCUUGUGUGAGAGCUGCCGAGCAGGCAGGUUAUAACCUCAAGAACUCAAGAGUUCAGAGUUACCGGCUUUGAACUGUGUUGUUUACACUCCUGUGAGGUCAUUAUUUGAUGAUUCAGAUAUAUGGAAAGAGGUUUUGUCUAAACUGCUGUCAAACUUCAGGCAUAUCAUUAUACUUAUUUCAAACACAUAUAAUUUGAUCUUCUUUACCAAGAGGUCUCUUUCCAUAUGUGCCCAGAGCAGAACAACUGCUGCUCUGCCCUUCUCUUUCUUGUAUUUGCCCAGAUUGAAGGUUUUACAGUCUCUAUUCUCAACUGCCUGUAAAAUUUAUGUUGAGAGAGGGAGAAACCUUUUACUGAAGCCCUUGGUAGGUUACACUUUCCUUAUCACACAGCCACCAAUGACAUUUCUAACAACAAUCUCCACAGCAACUCUGAAAUGCAAACCAGUAAAUAAGAAAUAAAAAAAAAAAAAAGCAGAGAGGUUAAAGAUUUUUUCUUGGUAAAGGACAAAGGUGAAGUGAAGGGUUUGGACAAGACAAGGUAAAAUCUAACUGAAAUGUACUACAAAAGAACUUUAUGCUUUACAAAUGCCUUAUUUUGGGAUUGCUGUCAUAACCGUGGCUUGGGAUGCAACAAUAAACAAGAGGAAAAAGGUUCCCAAUCUACAUAGCUGUCAGCAUCUUAGACACAAUUUCAUUUUCCCUGGUUUUGAAACACAUAUUCAACCCUUUCAAGAAAUUGGAAACAGCAUUUUGUUAGCCACUGCACUCUCUUCUCUUUACCAUAAUUAAACCCAAGCAUUUGACAAAGAACAGAUCACCUUAAUGAUGUUACUUAGGAGACCUCACUGGCUCAACCUUGGGGCAACACAUUCCAUCAUGACCUAAGAAACCUCUGCCCCAAAGCAAGAUAAAGUAGAUCCAGGUGUUUGCCAACAGAUCUCUUACUUGUUCUUACAGAUGUCUGGUGGCAAAAAAUUACAAUCACCUUAAGAACUCUGAAAUAAAGAUAAGCAUCAAGAAAGCAAUGUUUACUUACACAGGUCCAGUACAAGGCAUGGUAUCCACAGUACCAGCCUCACAAGACUGCCACAAAGCAAAAGUAUCAAGUUUACAUGAUAACCACAAAGGAAAAACCCAUGGAACAUUUUAUUUCUGCAGUAAAUUGCAGCCAAUUGCUCCCUAACAAGCUCACUUGGAAGGCUACAGGUCUGGUUUUCUACAAACACAAUCUUCAAGCAUCUCUUAUAAAUGUAUUAAUUCCUUUUAAAAAUGGCACUAAAAUGCUUUGAACUGACAAGAUUAGGCACAGAUUUCAUUAAAGCAGGACUGUAGAUAGUGAAUACUGUUCAUAGUACGGUAGAUCCUUGUUAAAUUUAAGUCAGAAAAUUUUCAAGGCAAAACCCAAUGUUCUCUACAUCACACACCAGGACAAGCUGCCACCUGUUUAACACCUCGAGGUGCUACUGCAACACAAACAUUCUUCUACGUAUUUGCAACUAUAAAUGCAACACUUGUACACAAUUUGUGAGAAACUGUUAAAAUUAAUCUGUGAGUUAAACCUAAACAGCCCAGGCACACACAGACUUAAGAUAUUUCAGAAAUUGGGAACUCCUGCACCAGACAGAAAUGCCUAAUGGGACCCAAACUCUCCCAUGGAUAGGAUUCUGCAGAUUUGAUGGAGAACGAAAGUUUGUCUAAAGCAGGAAUUGAGCUUAUUUUCAUUCAUUUUCAUCCUGAGCUUUGUUUUCAUGUUGUUUUGCAUCUUUGAAUCCGAUUCGAUGAUCACAGAACUGUUUUCUUACUCAGGGAAAGCUGCAAUACUUACACGGAAAUCUGAAGCCAUCAUCUUCAUGCCACUGGCAUGUCAAUGAAGGUCUAGAACACAAGUGAUUUGCUCACUCUUUUGGUGACCAGCUGAAUCAAUGCCUUUCCAAGAUGACAUAUUUACAAGCCUGUAUAUGCGAUACUUUCAGCCUACAACCUUUCUAAAAUAUUACUUAUAACUAUUUACUGAGAGAUUAAGUUAUGAUCAAAUUCUUAGGCAAAA